GGUCAAGUGACAAAGCGCAUACGGUGGAUGCCUAGGCGGUAGGAGGCGAUGAAGGACGUGGUAGCCUGCGAUAAGCUUCGGGGAGCUGGCAAACAAGCUUUGAUACCGGAGAUGU
rnacentral:rRNA from 1 species